rnacentral:tRNA from 1 species
GGGAGCUUAGGUAAGUGGUAUACCGGUUGUCUCCAAAACAACGAUCGGAGGUCCGAUUCCUCCAGCUCCCG